rnacentral:rRNA from 1 species
ACUGUUGGAUAGCCUGACGAAAGGCGACUUAAUACUAGCAUAUACUGGGCAGCCUGAAGAGCACCAACUGGGAAAGAACCAAACUUACGGAUGUUGUUGCGCGGCGUGAGCUAGGAUGGGGGAACGUCUUCCCGCAUGGCUGCUAAGCUUAGAUUACUAUGGAAGGGAGAUCCCCCAACUGGCACUGAGAACGGGAUCCACUCCUACAACGGGCUUCUGAGAGUGAUAUUGGCUAAUGGCGGAGAGGCUGUCUGAACCGUGCAUUGUGCCACGUGAGGGCCUUUUGGCGUGUAGACGGUGUUGAUCAGGCAAGAAAAAGACGAUGCUUACUGAACGGACGGGCCCUGAAUAAUAAGCCCCGGGUAAUUUCCGGCCACCACUAAAGGUAAUACGGGCGCUGCAAGCGUUGACUUAACCCAUUGCUUUAAAGGGAGCUGACGACGGCUGUGCAGUCCCUUGCGAAAGCCCCCGCU